rnacentral:rRNA from 1 species
GACGAACGCUGGCGGCGUGCCUAAUACAUGCAAGUUGAGCGCUGAAGGUUGGUACUUGUACCGACUGGAUGAGCAGCGGACGGGUGAGUAACGCGUGGGGAAUCUGCCUUUGAGCGGGGGACAACAUUUGGAAACGAAUGCUAAUACCGCAUAAAAACUUUAAACACAAGUUUUAAGUUUGAAAGAUGCAAUUGCAUCACUCAAAGAUGAUCCCGCGUUGUAUUAGCUAGUUGGUGAGGUAAAGGCUCACCAAGGCGAUGAUACAUAGCCGACCUGAGAGGGUGAUCGGCCAAAUUGGGAAUGAGAAACGGCCCAAACCCCUACGGGAGGGAGCAGGAGGGAAUCUUCGGCAAUUGACGAAAGGCUGACCGAGCAGCGCCGCGUGGGUGAAGAAGGUUCUCGGAUCGUAAAACUCUGUUGGUAGAGAAGAACGUUGGUGAGAGUGGAAAGCUCAUCAAGUGACGGUAACUACCCAGAAAGGGACGGCUAACUACGUG